rnacentral:tRNA from 2 species
GGAGGUGUGUCAUAUCCGGUGAUGUGGCAGGACUUCAAAUCCUGUUGAGGACGCCAGCGUUCUCGGGUGGGUUCAACUCCCAUAUGCCUCCGCCA